AGAUGCUGAGCAAUAAUCUGAAGUUGACAUUUUUUGUUCAUUCCACUGGUGAGGGAAGAGACCGGCAACUUCAUUUGAAAUGACACUGAACUUGACCAUGGAGGGACCUUGCUGUAAUAUGAAAUCCUGUUGGCUGUCCAAAGGGUAAGCUAGAAGUUCUACUUCAGUUAAUCAUCUCUUCUGUUCCUGUCCACCUUGAAGAUGACAGACCAUUUGUUGAAUGUGGAUCACCACUGGGGACCUUCCCCUCUGGAAGCCACCAGAUUGUUCUCUGUAUCAGUGAGUCAUUUUCUGUUUUGUUUUGUUUUGUCUGUUUCUUUUGUUUUUUAAAUUCCACAUAUAAGUACAAUAGUAUAUUUGUCUUUGUCUGAAUUAUUUUACUUAGCAUAAUAUCCUCUAGGGCCAUCCAUGUUGUCACAAAUGGCAAGAUUUCAUUUUUUCAUGACUAAUAUUCACUUGUAU
rnacentral:lncRNA from 1 species